rnacentral:rRNA from 1 species
AAAACUUUCAACAACGGAUCUCUUGGCUCUCGCAUCGAUGAAGAACGCAGCGAAAUGCGAUAAGUAAUGUGAAUUGCAGAAUUCAGUGAAUCAUCGAAUCUUUGAACGCACCUUGCGCUCUUUGGUAUUCCGAAGAGCAUGCCUGUUUGAGUGUCAU